ACAGAGGUCCCAAGCGUUGUUCGGAUUCACUGGGCAUAAAGGGCGCGUAGGCGGCUUUAUAAGUCGGGGGUGAAAGCCUGUGGCUCAACCACAGAAUUGCCUUCGAUACUGUAGAGCUUGAGACCGGAAGAGGUAAGUGGAACUGCGAGUGUAGAGGUGAAAUUCGUAGAUAUUCGCAAGAACACCAGUGGCGAAGGCGGCUUACUGGUCCGGUUCUGACGCUGAGGCGCGAAAGCGUGGGGAGCAAACAGGA
rnacentral:rRNA from 1 species